GCCUUAGUAGCGGCGAGUGAAGCGGCAAUAGCUCAAAUUUGAAAUCUGGCGUCUUCGGCGUCCGAGUUGUAAUUUGAAGAAGGUAACUUUGAGGCUGGCUCUUGUCUAUGUUCCUUGGAACAGGACGUCACAGAGGGUGAGAAUCCCGUGCGAUGAGAUGUCCAGCUUCGUGUAAAGUGCUUUCGACGAGUCGAGUUGUUUGGGAAUGCAGCUCUAAGUGGGUGGUAAAUUCCAUCUAAAGCUAAAUAUUGGCGAGAGACCGAUAGCGAACAAGUACUGUGAAGGAAAGAUGAAAAGAACUUUGAAAAGAGAGUGAAAAAGUACGUGAAAUUGUUGAAAGGGAAGGGCUUGAGGUCAGACUUGGUUUACCAGGCCAGCAUCAGUUUGGAUGGCAGGAUAAUAGCGAAGGAAUGUGGCUCGGUUUCGGCCGUGUGUUAUAGUCUUCGUUGAUACUGCCUGUCUAGACUGAGGACUGCGUCUUUGACUAGGAUGCUGGCAUAAUGACCUUAAGCCGCCCGUCUUGAAACACGGACCAAGGAGUCUAACGUCUAUGCGAGUGUUUGGGUGUAAAACCCGUACGCGUAAUGAAAGUGAACGUAGGUGAGAGCCCUUUGGGUGCAUCAUCGACCGAUCCUGAUGUCUUCGGAUGGAUUUGAGUAAGAGCAUAGUUGUUGGGACCCGAAAGAUGGUGAACUAUGCCUGAAUAGGGUGAAGCCAGAGGAAACUCUGGUGGAGGCUCGUAGCGGUUCUGACGUGCAAAUCGAUCGUCGAAUUUGGGUAUA
rnacentral:rRNA from 1 species